rnacentral:rRNA from 1 species
UAAGACUGGGAUAACUUCGGGAAACCGGAGCUAAUACCGGAUACGUUCUUUUCUCGCAUGAGAGAAGAUGGAAAGACGGUUUACGCUGUCACUUAUAGAUGGGCCCGCGGCGCAUUAGCUAGUUGGUGAGGUAAUGGCUCACCAAGGCGACGAUGCGUAGCCGACCUGAGAGGGUGAUCGGCCACACUGGGACUGAGACACGGCCCAGACUCCUACGGGAGGCAGCAGUAGGGAAUCUUCCGCAAUGGACGAAAGUCUGACGGAGCAACGCCGCGUGAACGAAGAAGGCCUUCGGGUCGUAAAGUUCUGUUGUUAGGGAAGAACAAGUACCAGAGUAACUGCUGGUACCUUGACGGUACCUAACCAGAAAGCCACGGCUAACUACGUGCCAGCAGCCGCGGUAAU